rnacentral:rRNA from 1 species
AGCAGCCGCGGUAAUUCCAGCUCCAAUAGCGUAUAUUAAAGUUGUUGCAGUUAAAAAGCUCGUAGUUGAAUUUCGGGAUCAGACUGUCGGUCGUGCCUCGGUACGCACUGGCAUUAUUGGUUCCUACCUUCUGAAGAACCGCGAUGUCAUUAAUUUGGUGUCGUGGGGAAUCAGGACUGUUACUUUGAAAAAUUAGAGUGUUUAAAGCAGGCGCACGCUUGAAUACAUUAGCAUGGAAUAAUGAAAUAGGACGUUUGAUUCUAUUUUGUUGGUUUCUAGGAUCGAUGUAAUGAUUAAUAGGGAUAGUUGGGGGCAUUAGUAUUCAAUUGUCAGAGGUGAAAUUCUUGGAUUUAUUGAAGACUAACUACUGCAAAGCAAUUUGCCAAGGAUAGUUUUCUAUUAAUCAAGAACGAAAGUUAGGGGAUCGAAGACGAUCAGAUACCGUCGUAGUCUUAACCAUAAAACUAUGCCGACUAGGGAUCGGAUGAUGUUAAUUAUUAAUU